CCUACGGGUGGCUGCAGUGGGGAAUAUUGGACAAUGGGGGGAACCCUGAUCCAGCGAUGCCGCGUGGGUGAAGAAGGCCUUCGGGUUGUAAAGCCCUUUAGGUUGGGAAGAAGGAUACUAGGUUAAGAGCUAGGUAUUUUGACGGUACCAACAGAAUAAGCACCGGCAAACUCUGUGCCAGCAGCCGCGGUAAUACAGAGGGUGCGAGCGUUAAUCGGAAUUACUGGGCGUAAAGGGCGCGUAGGCGGUUAUAUGUGUGUGAUGUGAAAGCCCCG
rnacentral:rRNA from 1 species